rnacentral:rRNA from 1 species
GACAGAGGCCUCAAGCGUUAGGCGGAAUCACUGGGCUUAAAGCGUGUGUAGGCGGAUCGUUAAGUACCUUGUGAAAUCCCACGGCUCACCCGUGGAACUGCUGGGUAUACUGGCGGUCUUGGGCCAACUAGGGGCAGCUGGAACAAGCGGUGGAGCGGUGAAAUGCGUAGAUAUCGCUUGGAACGCCGAAGGUGAAAACAGGUAGCUGGGGCUGUGCUGACGCUGAGACACGAAAGCCAGGGGAGCAAACGGG